AACUGUGAUGUAGGCAAAAUUGUCUAUUCAAACUGUAGAUGAGAUGGAAGAAGCCCAGCAGGGGCAGGACGCAGAAGAUGGCAAAGGAUUCUGGCAUACCUGGGCAUGCCCAGAACACCCGUGGCAGGACCCACUGGAGGUCUGUUUUCAUGAGAAGACAGCAUCCUAGGAAAGAAUCCCUUCUUCAGGCAAGGCCAAAGAGAAGCCCAAGGAUAACAGAGAGAGACACAGUGAGAGAGGGGA